rnacentral:rRNA from 1 species
AGCAGUCGCCGCGGUAAUACGUAGGGUGCAAGCGUUAAUCGGAAUUACUGGGCGUAAAGCGUGCGCAGGCGGUUUGUUAAGACAGAUGUGAAAUCCCCGGGCUCAACCUGGGAACUGCAUUUGUGACUGGCAGGCUAGAGUAUGGCAGAGGGGGGUGGAAUUCCGCGUGUAGCAGUGAAAUGCGUAGAGAUGUGGAGGAAUACCGAUGGCGAAGGCAGCCCCCUGGGCCAAUACUGACGCUCAUGCACGAAAGCGUGGGGAGCAAACAGGAUUAGAUACCCCUGUAGUCCCUGUCUCUUAUAC